CUCUUAAGACACUUCACAUUUAUUUUUUAGAAAUACACAUUAAGCUUCAUCUAAAAUAUCACUUCUAAAACAAAUAAAUGUCUAUUUCACGGACAGCUCUCUGUCCCCCGGUUCCCACAACAAAAGGAGUAGUACACAGUUCAAUACGCUGCAUAAAGCAAGCACUUCGUAGCCGCUGCUUACUAACAAGCUAAACCUUGCCACGGUGUACUGGGUUAUAAGCUAAUGCAGUUUUCUAAAGAUUUGGGAUCCUCCAAUUAUACUUAUAUAGAAAUAGAAAAGUAACAAAAGGUUGCCCAGUAAUACUGUUUUGAAAUAUUAAAGUUAUAACAAUAAAUAAUAAAAUCUUCAUGUCUGAAAAGUCUAGCAAUAAACUUCAAGGUCAGUUCCCCUAGACCUCUGCUUGACUAAAUUCUAAAACAUUAUAAAAAAAAAAUCAUAUAUUAGGUAUAUGAUUACUAAGGCCAAUUUCUAUUUAUUCUAUGAGUUUUUAUAUCCUGGUAUUCAAGGUCACCUCAAGUACAAUAAUCAUAAUACAGUGUACUAUGAUACUGGACUGUUAGUCUAAAUAGAGAAUAUGAGUGGGAAAUUAUAUUUAACCUGUGUUAAUACAACUGAUAAAUGUUUAAGUUUAUUCCCUUAUAAUCUCUAAAUAAGGGUAAAAUGAUAAUACUUACUGAAUAAUACAAGCUGUAGCACCAAUCAUUUG
rnacentral:lncRNA from 1 species